UACGAAGGGGGCUAGCGUUGCUCGGAAUCACUGGGCGUAAAGGGCGCGUAGGCGGCCGAUUAAGUCGGGGGUGAAAGCCUGUGGCUCAACCACAGAAUUGCCUUCGAUACUGGUUGGCUUGAGACCGGAAGAGGACAGCGGAACCGCGAGUGUAGAGGUGAAAUUCGUAGAUAUUCGCAAGAACACCAGUGGCGAAGGCGGCUGUCUGGUCCGGUUCUGACGCUGAGGCGCGAAAGCGUGGGGAGCAAACAGG
rnacentral:rRNA from 1 species